rnacentral:rRNA from 1 species
UACGUAGGGGGCAAGCGUUGUCCGGAAUCAUUGGGCGUAAAGAGCGUGUAGGCGGUCCGGUCAGUCGGUUGUGAAAGUCAAGGGCUCAACCCUUGAAUGCCGGCCGAUACUGCCGGGCUAGAGUCCGGAAGAGGUGAGUGGAAUUCCUGGUGUAGCGGUGAAAUGCGCAGAUAUCAGGAGGAACACCGAUGGCGAAGGCAGCUCACUGGGACGGUACUGACGCUGAGACGCGAAAGCGUGGGGAGCGAUCCGG